rnacentral:rRNA from 1 species
AACGAACGCUGGCGGCAGGCCUAACACAUGCAAGUCGAGCGCCCUUUCGGGGGAGCGGCGGACGGGUGAGUAACGCGUGGGAAUAUGCCCUUCUCUACGGAAUAGCCUCGGGAAACUGAGAGUAAUACCGUAUACGCCCUUUGGGGGCAAGAUUUAUCGGGGAAGGAUUAGCCCGCGUUGGAUUAGGUAGUUGGUGGGGUAAUGGCCUACCAAGCCGACGAUCCAUAGCUGGGUUGAGAGGAUGAUCAGCCACACUGGGACUGAGACACGGCCCAGACUCCUACGGGAGGCAGCAGUGGGGAAUCUUAGACAAUGGGGGCAACCCUGAUCGAGCCAUGCCGCGUGAGUGAUGAAGGCCUUAGGGUUGUAAAGCUCUUUCAGCUGGGAAGAUAAUGACGGUACCAGCAGAAGAAGCCCCGGCUAACUCCGUG